rnacentral:rRNA from 1 species
GAUGAACGCUGGCGGCGUGCCUAAUACAUGCAAGUCGAGCGAACAGACGAGGAGCUUGCUCCUCUGACGUUACCGGCGGACGGGUGAGUAACACGUGGAUAACCUACCUAUAAGACUGGGAUAACUUCGGGAAACCGGAGCUAAUACCGGAUAAUAUAUUGAACCGCAUGGUUCAAUAGUGAAAGACGGUUUUGCUGUCACUUAUAGAUGGAUCCGCGCCGCAUUAGCUAGUUGGUAAGGUAACGGCUUACCAAGGCAACGAUGCGUAGCCGACCUGAGAGGGUGAUCGGCCACACUGGAACUGAGACACGGUCCAGACUCCUACGGGAGGCAGCAGUAGGGAAUCUUCCGCAAUGGGCGAAAGCUUGACGGAGCAACGCCGCGUGAGUGAUGAAGGUCUUCGGAUCGUAAAACUCUGUUAUUAGGGAAGAACAAAUGUGUAAGUAACUAUGCACGUCUUGACGGUACCUAAUCAGAAAGCCACGGCUAACUACGUG